rnacentral:rRNA from 1 species
AUUGAACGCCGGCGGCAGGCCUAACACAUGCAAGUCGAACGGUAACAGAAAGCAGCUUGCUGCUUUGCUGACGAGUGGCGGACGGGUGAGUAAUGUCUGGGAAACUGCCUGAUGGAGGGGGAUAACUACUGGAAACGGUAGCUAAUACCGCAUAACGUCGCAAGACCAAAGAGGGGGACCUUCGGGCCUCUUGCCAUCGGAUGUGCCCAGAUGGGAUUAGCUAGUAGGUGGGGUAAAGGCUCACCUAGGCGACGAUCCCUAGCUGGUUUGAGAGGAUGACCAGCCACACUGGAACUGAGACACGGUCCAGACUCCUACGGGAGGCAGCAGUGGGGAAUAUUGCACAAUGGGCGCAAGCCUGAUGCAGCCAUGCCGCGUGUAUGAAGAAGGCCUUCGGGUUGUAAAGUACUUUCAGCGGGGAGGAAGGGAGUAAAGUUAAUACCUUUGCUCAUUGACGUUACCCGCAGAAGAAGCACCGGCUAACUCCGUG